CUUCAUUUGAGGAGUUUGGAAACCUUUUAGUUAGAAGACAUGGGGCUUCAGCAUGCAAAAGCUCAGCAUGAGAACCAGCGUAUGGAGACUAUCCCGGCAUCUGGGGCUAAAGGCCAGAGUCUGAGGAACAACAGCUGUAUAUUUAUCAAGCGUCACUUCUUGCGAUCCUUUCAGUAGCCGCCUUUGUACACAUAAGGACAAUAGGGUUCCAAAAAGUUGAGUCAACUAUCAAAAUGAAGAGCACAGUGCUGGACCCUACAGACCCUAGACAAGGUUGUCUAUCUGGGGGUGUUCGAGAGGGAGAGGGAGUGCGACCCAACUUUGGGUGCCCUUUGACAGCCAGUCCUGGUUCCUUUUCAAGUAAACUUCCCUUCGGUUUCACAGUU